CGUAUCACUUAAAACGAUUCAGAAGCUUACGAUUGACGGAGCGAAGCGACGUCAAAGCGUAUACAAAGUCGAGUCGGUUUAAGGAUACGUUCGUUGGGUAGGGGAGCGUUCUGUAAGCCUGCGAAGGUGGCCUGUGAGGGUUGCUGGAGGUAUCAGAAGUGCGAAUGCUGACAUAAGUAACGAUAAAGCGGGUGAAAAGCCCGCUCGCCGGAAGACCAAGGGUUCCUGUCCAACGUUAAUCGGGGCAGGGUGAGUCGACCCCUAAGGCGAGGCCGAAAGGCGUAGUCGAUGGGAAACGGGUUAAUAUUCCCGUACUUGGUGUUACUGCGAAGGGGGGACGGAGAAGGCUAUGUUGGCCGGGCGACGGUUGUCCCGGUUUAAGCGUGUAGGCUGACUUUCCAGGCAAAUCCGGAGAGUCAAGGCUGAGGCGUGACGACGAGGCACCACGGUGCUGAAGCAACAAAUGCCCUGCUUCCAGGAAAAGCCUCUAAGCAUCAGGUAACAUCAAAUCGUACCCCAAACCGACACAGGUGGUCAGGUAGAGAAUACCAAGGCGCUUGAGAGAACUCGGGUGAAGGAACUAGGCAAAAUGGUGCCGUAACUUCGGGAGAAGGCACGCUGACACGUAGGUGAAGUGAUUUACUCAUGGAGCUGAAGUCAGUCGAAGAUACCAGCUGGCUGCAACUGUUUAUUAAAAACACAGCACUGUGCAAACACGAAAGUGGACGUAUACGGUGUGACGCCUGCCCGGUGCCGGAAGGUUAAUUGAUGGGGUCAGCGCAAGCGAAGCUCCUGAUCGAAGCCCCGGUAAACGGCGGCCGUAACUAUAACGGUCCUAAGGUAGCGAAAUUCCUUGUCGGGUAAGUUCCGACCUGCACGAAUGGCGUAAUGAUGGCCAGGCUGUCUCCACCCGAGACUCAGUGAAAUUGAACUCGCUGUGAAGAUGCAGUGUACCCGCGGCAAGACGGAAAGACCCCGUGAACCUUUACUAUAGCUUGACACUGAACAUUGAGCCUUGAUGUGUAGGAUAGGUGGGAGGCUUUGAAGCGUG
rnacentral:rRNA from 1 species